UACGGAGGGGGCUAGCGUUGUUCGGAAUUACUGGGCGUAAAGCGCGUGUAGGCGGUUCGGCAAGUCGGAUGUGAAAGCCCAGGGCUCAACCCUGGAAGUGCACUCGAAACUGCCGAACUGGAGUCCCGGAGAGGAAGGCGGAAUUCUCGGUGUAGAGGUGAAAUUCGUAGAUAUCGAGAGGAACACCUGUGGCGAAGGCGGCCUUCUGGACGGUGACUGACGCUGAGACGCGAAAGCGUGGGGAGCAAACAGG
rnacentral:rRNA from 1 species